rnacentral:lncRNA from 1 species
CCUCCCUUCGGCCCCGGGCGCCCCCUCGGGAUGAACCUCUGAAAUGGGACCCUCGGUCGGGGGGCUCUGUGAAAGGGUUCGGGGGACUUUGGGUUCGACGUCGGAAGGGGCUUCGACGGUGGUGGGCAUCGGAGCAGGCGCGGCUGAGCUUGUCCCGUCUGUCCUGACUUUCUUCACCGACCCCGAAGUUAAGGCGUCC